AGCCUACGGAUUUAGGUUGAUUUUGAGGAAGCUCUUCCAGGCCCAGGAGAGCUGUUAGCCACAGGUUCUGUCUGAGUCACUGAAGCCAAGAAAUGUUUGGGCCUCAGAGAGCUAAGUGUGGCCAGGGGCAGGGGGUGAGGGGUAAAUCCCAGCAGAAGAGAACAGAGACUCCAACUUUAGGCCACUCCAAAGGGAGAGCCUUAUCCCUGGUCACUAAGACUGGACCUGGGGUCACACUGUGACAAUGACAGCCACUGUGACAUGCUGGCUGCCCCCCACCACCCCCAAGCAGUUCCCCAGCCACAAAGCUUAAGCCAUCCUUGAAGGGAGAAGGUGGCAGCUUGACUGAGCUGUGAGCUGAGAGGAAGCAGUCGCUGGUUCCCAGUAGAAGUCCAAAGAUGCUAAUAUUAUAGAACCCACAGUCCCUGCACAGGCUCCACGGAACCAUACUCCAUAUCGAUACGCAUGGAGCCCUCAACUUCCUGGUGGUGACUGUGGUUGGACCAAGAUGGCCCAGGACAACCCUCACUUCCUAGCUUUCCACGAGCAUCGCUCCGCUAACCGUUGGCCGAUCCCCUCCCCCCCAGAGAGGCAGCCACAGUGAUGGAGGAGCGGCCUUUUUGGAAUCAUGAGGACAAAAGCUAUACCGCAGACACGGUGUGACCAGAGAUCUCACAGGCUGUUGGCUGCCCCCCACAACUUCCCUGUCAUGACAGACAGUACCCUCAAGCCAGGAACCCAGACGAACCCUUCUUCCCUUAAGUUGCUUUGCUCGGUGUUCGCUUUUGCCUAAGCCACGAAAAAAAAAUAAUUCACAAGGUCUCUACUCUCAAUGAGACAGCCAGCAAAGAAGAUGUCCAUCAAAGAGGCCUUAGUAGUCUGAGUGCACCGCUCCCAAGCCAGGCCCUGAAGAGAUGUGUGACUGUGGGAUAUUCACUUCCCCACUCCAGCCUCUGUUUCCACAUCUGUAACAUCUGGGAAGGUCCAAGCACGCCCAACACCUCACUCUCUGAGGUCUGUGCCCAGCAGCUGGCCACCUUCCAGCAGGACGGAGCUAAGGCUGCUCUCUGGUUUCUUGACUUUGGGUAAAGAGCCAGGAGGCCCUGCUGCCUGCCAGGCCUCUGGCCCGCAGCUUCUGGAGCUGCCAAUAAAUCUCAGCAGGUGAUGAAAAGAGCCGGCUCCUGCCAGCAAGCCACGGGCUAAAGAGCCCCAUUGUGGC